CCGACACGUCGAGGUGCGUGAGGAGGCGGCAGUGUCGCGUGAGGAGAGUGAUGGUAUCAUCGGAGGCGUUGGCGAGGCGGACACGACGGAGUUUCUUACAGAUGAAACUUCCAGUGUGCCCAGCUGGAAAUUCGUAUCCACAUCCUACAAUAUAGCCGUGACUUUGAAGAGAUAUUACAACAGAACUUUGGGAAAUUGAACUGCACCAUCACAUCUGUAAAUGAUCACCUGGAGCAUGGAACAAAAGCUACCACCAACACCGCACCACCACCAUGGCACUAUCACCACCAUGGAACUAUCACCACCAUGGAACUAUCACCACCAUGGAACUAUCACCACUGGCACCACUGUUUUAUUAACCCGGGACUAAAUGAACAAAAAUAUGGGAAUUAUUGUGAAAUUGUAUACAGUACAAUACUGCCAUAAAGGGAUCGUGGGCUGAUGAGAACGGGAGGUGGUGAGUUGUCCGUUCCUCCUCUCCCCGGCUACACACCCAAACAUAGUCUUAUACAGUAUCAUAAUAUAAUUCAUAUUAUAUUCCUAUAAUUAAUUCAUCUUAAUCUAUUUCAUAAUAUAUUCAUAUACCCGUAAUAAUAAUAAUCAACUUUUCAGAACUGCACCGUUAUUUCAGAUUCUUUCCGAAUUCAAAUUGUUUAAUUCGUUUAAAAAACUUCCAAUUACAAUAAUCUGAAAUCCGAAUUAUGAAGAUUCAAAUUAACGAGGGUACAAUGUAAAGUGGAAUAAUUGUUUGAGAUUCUGUUGUUCUGAAACACGUGCCAAGAGUAAGCUGUGUGGC